GAUGAAGAACGUAGCGAAAUGCGAUACUUGGUGUGAAUUGCAGAAUCCCGUGAACCAUCGAGUCUUUGAACGCAAGUUGCGCCCGAAGCCAUUAGGCCGAGGGCACGCCUGCCGGGGCGUCACACGUCGUUGCCCCCCCAUCUACUCCUUCGGGAUUGCGGGGGGCGGAUGAUGGCCUCCCGUGCGCCACGCCGCGCGGUUGGCAUAAAUGCCAAGUCCUCGGCGACGCACGCCACGACAAUCGGUGGUUGCGAAACCUCGGUUGCCCGUCGUGUGCGGUCGUCGCGCAUCGAGGGCUCGAAAAAAUUGCCGGGUUCCGGCUCGGCUUUCAACGCGACCCCAGGUCAGGCGGGGUUACCCGCUGAAUUUAAGCAUAUCAAUAAGCGGAGGA
rnacentral:misc_RNA from 1 species